UUUUUUUUUUCUCCCUCCCCCCUCCCUUCUUUCCCUCUGCCUUUCCCCGCCACCUUCCCCCUUUGUCCGCCGCCAUCUCCUCCCCUCAUCACCAGCGUACGCCACCAUCUCGCCGCACGUCUCUCUCCUCUUAUGCGUUUCUCGGUCUCCGCUGCCCACGGCCGCGCGACUCCAGCGACACCACAGCCCUCCUCUCUCCCUCGCAACGCCGACGAAGCCACCACCACCUCGCGCGACUCCAGCCCAACCGCCGCCUGUCGCUCACGCCACGUCCCCUGGCUCCACCGUGAACCGCCGUUCCUCUUUGGCCGCGACCCAAAGCCCUCGCGCGUUCUCUCUCCUCUUCGUAACUCCUAUCUUGCCGCUGUUCCUCUUAGCUCCCUUCACCACAGUACAGGGGUGGGGGAGGGAGGUUGCGGGCAGAGGGAGAGGGGGGGAGCUUUUGCAGGGGUGGCGGGGCUGAGGGAGAAGGCGGGGGGAGGGGGAUGGCGGGGAGAGAAGGAGAAGGGGAAAGGGAGGAGAGGAGUGGCGGAGGUAACUGGGAAGAAGAAGAAGAAGAAAGAAAGAAAAGAAAAAGGAAAGAAAGAAAAAGAAAAAGAAAAAGAAAGAGAAAGAGAAAAGGAAAGAAAAAAAGGAAUGGAAAAAAAAUUUCACCUUACAAAAACUUCUACAAAAUUUUUUCAAAAACUUCUACAAUGCACUACAGUAAAGUUUUAGACAAACUCCCAAAAAACUCAGGUUCCAAACAGGCCCAAUAUGAUAUUCCUUAAUAGUUAUACUUAUUAGAUCAAUCAAUAAUUUACACUUUCCAAGUCAUAUCUCACAAUUUCUAUUCUCCCAACUAGUAACUAAACUUUGAUUUUUCCCAUUAAGCGUGUUAAUCUCCAAGUCAUAAGGUAACUGAAUCGGCCUCACGUAUACCCUCACUCAUAAAUCUAGGGUUCAAAAAAGAGUGUGUCGUAUCAAGGUCAUUUAGAACCUUAGCUAAACAAUAAAAACAAGAAUCAUACCUCCAAUGACCUUAGUGGAAUUAGAAACUUGUUAAUGGCCUAGUGCAUAAACUCUAGCCGUCGCUUUAGAUCGACUUCCUCCAGCACUAGUUUGUUUGGAAGCCGAUUUUUCUGGCCUUUGAGUACUACCUCUUACCUUCGGUACUUUUGGACAACUUGCGAGUUGGUGUUUGGCACUACCACAAUACAAGCACUUUCCCGAUUUUCUCCAAUAAUUAUUUUCCACAUGAUUGGACUUGCCAUAGUAGCCACAACUAACUUGAGGAGUCACGACCUGACCAUCAGAAGGUGUCUCUUUCGAUUGACCUCGUCUAUUGUCGCCUUCUCUAUUUUGAGUUCCUUUUUGUGUACUAGGUAUCCCCACUCCUCCCUUUUUUUUUUCCUUUUUAAAAGGUGGUGUACUUUUACUUGCUUGAUCAGAGGAGUAAUUAGGAGUGUUCCUUUUCUUAGCAUGGAAAUCCUUAACAUGCAGCCUUGCACUUUUGACUCUCUGUGCUUUCUCUAAGGCUUCAGUUGUGAUACCCCAACUUUUAGGAUCAUCUUUUGUUUAGUCUCAAAGAGGAUAUUACGGUUUCUUAGUUUAUUUUUAUUUUAAAACAUUAUUUUGUUUCAAAGAAGAUACUAAAGUUAUUUAUUUGGGUUUGAUUUAAAACCUUGUUUUGUUUUAAAAGACUAGAAACCCUAAAAGUCUAAUCAAAACCCUAGUUUCACUUGUGACUGGCCGUUUUCUCAAAUUUCUCAUAUUUUAACCGAAACCCUAAAUUCAAUUUAUGGAAUUGUAAAACCCCUCACGUUUUUCUUAAAAAUUCCCUUUUAUUUGGAACUUAUGAUUUUAUAAUAGCCCUACCACCCAAUCACCCCACAAUAAGUGCAAAUGAACAUGAAUGUAAAGGUUUUUCCUUUCCAUUUUUAAGUUAGAGUGAAUUAGGGUUUUCACGUUUUUCCGUAGUAUGACUAUUCAGUACGGAGUGAGGAUCAAAUUUGAUAGGUAACAUUGACUUUUGGAUGAGAAAAUAUUAUAUGAUUAGAAGUGAUAAUAAUAAGUUAGUGAUUAGAAGGUAAAAACCCUAGUAUACGCGAUUUAAGAAAAAAUUGGCUCAAACCGACGGGUAUCGAUCACUACCGAUUGAACCCACCACUUGACCACCACCUCCCUACCACCACAUACCCUUGAUAUUUUUGCAAAAUAUCUCCCUCAUCCUCAGCCUUAUAGCCGAAAUUAUUGACCUAAAAUGCAAGGAAAAGAAAAUAAAAUUUUAGUUGGUUUUGGUGGUGACAAGUGUCGGCCACCUAUGGUUCCUUGACCAAGCCAAUUUUCUUUGCUUCUUAUCUUCACAUUGGCUCUAUUUCUUCACCAUUUUCCCCUGGUCUGGCCGAGCUUAAGAGAGAGAGAGAGAGCAAGAGAAACAACUUCAAUCCAUCUUGAGUUUGAACCAUUUGAGUGAAAACAAGAAAAACUAAACCGAUUAAUCAAUAGUUUGAGAGUUUGGGAAACUUAAGGAACCAAAAAUUUCUAAGAGAGGUGGAGGAUAUCCUUUGAAAGCUUGUUCUUGAGGUAUUUUGGUUGUCCCUUAUCUUUGGUUCUUUUACUUUAGUUUAAGUUGUUAUAUAACUCAUGAUUUGGUCAAAUUAGUUACUAUGGAAGUAGUUGUGGUGAUUUUGGGAGAAUUGGUGAGUUAGGGUUUGUAUUGAUCAGCCAUAUUUAUUCUUGUUUAGAUGGAUUAUGAUGGGAAUAAGUGUAGAUAAGGAGGUGAGGUAGUGUUUUAACCUAGAAUUAUGAAGAUUAGCACUUGUAGGUAGAAAUUCCAGAUUUUCGAUUUUGCACCUCCCCUGUUCUGCCCGGUUCUAGUUCAUUAUGUUAGAGGCCAAAUUAGGCUUAGAACAAAACAUGAAAGUUGUAUAGAAUGAUAUUUUCUGAUUUCCUACAAAAUUACAGCUCAAUCGGACCAACGUAGCCUGUGAAAAGAUGAAAAUACCCUGACUGCCAUAGGAGUAAAGUCAGUGGACAGUUUUGACAGUACACUAAGUUGGUUGCAUUUGUUUAGUUUGAUACAUAGUGAACUAUCUUAUGGUCAAAACAUGAAAGUUGUAGUACUAUGUCUUAUAUUUCCAACGCCCCUGGAAUCGCCUCGAUUGGACUUCGGUAUCCUGAGUUAUUGUCAUUUACGCAUAAUGCGGUUAACUAGCUUGAAUGUGAGAUUUUGGUUUUUUAAUCCAGACUUUUGACCUAGAUACACUACCAACUGGACUGAGUGAUCUUCAUCAAAGUUGUAGGCCUUUGUCUUAGCUUCGAAACGGUAUCAAUUUCAUCCCAAUCCGAUAAGCGUAGCUUCGGUUGUGCUCUUUACGCUAAGUGAUGGCAAAUCUGUCUUUUAAUUUAUGCCUUACAUUUCAUUUCCGAACAUGUACCUAGUUUAAUUUUGUAUUUGUAUGAAUUUGAGCCUAUUGAACAGCUAUUGAAAUGAGGUUAUUCUAUGUGUGACUUUGGAAUUGUUUAAGGAAAAUAUUGAAGUCAUAAAUAGCUGGAAAAUGGGUAAACACAAGGGGCAUGCCGCCAAAUUUUCACGAGAAAGAUAAACUAGCCUUUGGAGUUCUAAUUCUGUAUUUUGCAAAUUUAACUUGGAUACACUAAAAACUGGGUUGAGGUGUCUCAUGGAAUUUGUAACAUUUUGUUUAAGUUUCGAACACUACCUAGUACAUUUUGAUCCGAUAACCACAACUCCAGUUAUGGGCAAAAUCGUGUAACCUGUUUUGUACCAUUUUUAUUUCCACGCACGCACAAGUGCAUUUCUCAACCGUUUUUUGCCAUUUUGGACCAUUUAGGUCUAGUUUUGUUAUUUUGUUACCAUUCCGGCCGUUUCGGCCAAUUUCGACAUUCUUUUGGCCUCAACGUCGUUUUUGACCGUUUUUUAUUAUUUUUGACCGUUUUCGAUCGUUUUCGAUCGUUUACGUUAUAAACUGCUAUUGUAUGGCCAUUUCACUUAUGUGUAGAUAUAAUCUGUCAAUACAGAUUGUGAGGCUUUUCACAGUGACAGACAAACUCAGUGAAUUGUAUCAUUUUCGUACUAAGCUUUAUCAAGUGAGUAAUUGGGUUGUUAUUGAUGCGGAAUUGUUAAAGUGUUUUGUAUAUGUUAAGUGGGUACUCAGGCGAGGGUGUGCUUUAUCUCACUCGACUUAAACCCAUCCUUUGUUUUGAUUUCUUAUGUGAGAAUACAUGCCUUAUGUUGAGUAUCACCCUUUUGCUGUGUGCUAAUGAGGGUGAUUACAUGACUUGAGUAUCAUCCUUUUGUUGUGUGCUGAUGAGGAUGAUUGCAUGACUUGUGUAUCACCCUUUUGCUGUGUGUUGAUGGGGGUAAUUGCAUGAAUUGAAUUGAACUCCAUUUGUUGUGUGCUGUUUGGGGUAAGUACUUUGUUGUGUACUUUGUUGAGAGAUACCAUCUUUUGAGAGAUCGGAUAUCUCAGGGCUUGGUUCCAACCCGAUUCCAAGGGUUAGAUGAACUAUUCGACCCAGUUGGGAUUUGGUCGAAGAUAGUUUCAUGCUAACCUUGGGAUUUAGUUCCUUGUUAAAGGUUUGACAAAAGCUAAGUUAUUUUGUUUCAUUCAAACUGCUGUGUGCUGUUGACUGGCCAGCGGGGGUUGAUAAGGUGAACGGGAAAAGUUAAGUGGAGUCUACGGACCAUGAGUACUUUGGUUGACGGAGUGUCAACAGGCGUUCAAGCUCGGGGAAUUGAACUGGCUUUGGAGCCACCUGUAUCCUACCAUUGUGAUGUUACUUUUCUGUUGUUGAUGUGAAAUAUCCUGAUUUACUUGUUUAAUUAUGUGAGUUUACAUUUUUACCCAUGAUUAUUCACUAAGCAUAUAGCUUACCCCAUUCUAUUUGUUUUCCUUAGCAGGGGGCCAAUGCGGGGAUCGAUCGGGAAGGUGUUUAGUGUUUUGAUUAUAGAUGAGUUGAAUUUGUACUUGUUAGAAGUUGACUAGUAAGAUGUAUAUAGUUGUUGUGAUGGUUGUAGUUAUCAGCUUUUUUAGGAUUUACUUUCUGGUACUCGUGGUAUGUAUGACUUGAUGAACUAGUCUAUGCAACUUUUGAAGCUCUAAUAGAGCUUUCUUUUAGCGUGGAAUCUAUUUUCUCAUUUUAAGUAUUCAGUCCUGGCACAAGUUAGGCAGGCGUCCCGCCGAUACCCUAAGGUUCGCCCUUAGCAGAAGUGGGGGCGUCACAUUAGUGAAAGUAAAGAUUUGGACUGCCGCCAACCCCUCAUGAAUCUCUACAUUAAGUCGUUGCACAAAACGUCUUAUCCUUUUUCGCUCAUUAGUCACUAAUUCCGGGGUAUACUUAGAAAAUUUAGUAAAUUUUUCUUCAUAUUCAGUCACGCUAGAAACUCCCUGCCUCAAUUUUAUAAAUUCGUCCUCCCUUUUCUCUUGAAUCCCUUUUCUAUUGAAUCAAGGGUGGAAGAAACUUCUUAUUAAACUCUCUCGUGAAGUUUUCCCAAGUCCACGGGAUUUGCGGUCUUUUCCAUUUUUUUCUUAUCAAAUCCCACCAAGCACGUGCUACACCCUCAAAUUGGAAAGUAGCAAAGUCCACUCGCCUAUCUUCGGUAUAGUCUAAGGCAGCGAAUAUGUUGUUCAUCCUCUCCAACCAGUUCUUCGCUACCUCGGGAUCAGGUUCCCCAGUGAAUUUAGGUGGGUUAAAUUUCAGAAACCUCUCCAAGACUCUAUCUUCCCCUCUAUCCUGGGCCCUGGGUUGGUUAAUUGGCCCUGGACCCUAUCUCUCAGCUAAUCGUUCAAGGAUAUCAGUCAUCCUAUUAAUGACAGUAGUCACUUGGUUACCCUUUAGAUUCUCUUGUCCAUGGGUCGGUCCAGUUGCCGAACCCUGAUCAUCUCUUUGAGGUUGGGUUUGCCUAGUCUCUCGCCCACGACCUCUGCCACUUCUUCGUCCAUUCAUAAUUCUAGUUAUACCUAGUGCAAGAAAUAAAAUAAUUACGCGAAAAAAUACUUUAAAAUAAAAGUCAAUCAUGAAAACAUUGGAAAUAACAAUAAUUUACAUAUAUCAGCAAUUUAAAAUCCAUACAAUUAGCAAGUCAUGGGAUAUUUUAAAAAUAUAGCACAAAAGUGCCACAAAAGUACUUUUAGUCAUGUACGACUAAAAUAGAGCCAAGUGCCUCAAAAGUAAGCCACACCGUCAAGCAAAAUACAAUGGCCAUUGCACUAGCAUCACCCCAACUAUUUCUAACCACAAAAGUCAAAAGAGAGUCACCACUCUCGUCUAAUCCACAGUAGGACUAUCAGGCAAAACCUCCUUCUCAGGAUCUUUCUCGAAAGGCUCCGCCCCAAAGCCCUCCUGAACUAGACUAUGCACAACCUCCAUCACCUCAUCAAUCAGCAUAGUGGCAUCGGCCAAGAUCCCGAAAGCUCGAUCCCGGAUCUUCUCACCUAUCCUAGUAAGUCAAGCCCUAACUCUCUGAAGCUCAUCCCGGGCAACCUCGGCCCUAGCCACCUCGUCCACUAAUGUUCCCUCUAACUCUGCAAUCCUGUCACCCUGAGCGUUCACCAUAAGGCUUACCUCCUCCACCUCCUGAAGUAGAGUUCUGUUGGUAUUUACCAACUGGCGACACUCAUCAUCAAUAGCAAAUACGAGGACAUUCAGGUAAGCAUAUGUCGCCCUACAGAGACAUCGAGGAAACCUAGUAGAAGGUGAGUAACGCACACAAGCUCUUCCAUCCUGUGCUCGAUAGUAAAUAGACUUAAGGGGCUCCACGUGGGCAUUAGCCUGACCAUUACCAUUAGCAGCACGUUCCCAUUUCCAUUCUCCAUCCCUGUAAAACAACCACAACUUCCAGGUUAGAAACUUAAAGUCGCUAACUCGCUCAAAUAUCACUUAAAGUAUAACUAAGUCAUUUAAUCCCCAUUCUUAAGAGUAAGGUCUCGAAUACAUCUCCCAAAUAGAUCUCUAAACCUAGUCUCUUUUCCACCAAUGCCGUUUAAGAAACUCUCGAGUACCAAUUUUCUUUAACCACUGGAAUACAAUAGGUUAGUGUUCAAGUAAAUCCCACGGUCCGGUAUCCAAAACUUUUAACCUAAGAUACCCUACAAAGAUCUGAAAUCUAAACUCUGAUACCAACUGUGAUGCCCCCACUUCUCCCUAAGGUGAACCAAAGGGUAUCGAUGGGACGCCUGCCCCGCUCUUGCCAGGAUUCAGUACAAUUCCAAUUCAAAUUUAAAGGAUAACAACUAAUAACAAAAGUCGAAAUAAAUACAAGAAGUCAUUUCCAAAUAUAAAAAUUCAAUCUUACAUCACUAGUUUCAAAAUACAACCAUUUUCUCAAAAUACACAACUUCCAAAAGAUGUCUAGUCUAAUACCUUUAAAACCCUAAACAAAAGUACCUUAAGUUGGUUUCUCCAUAACUCUUUCCAUCUCGGUCCCUGUUAAGGAAAACAAAUCUAAUGGGAUGAGCUAACGCUCAGCAAGGCCAAGAAAACAUGCAAUACACAUAGUUCAGGUAGUAAUAACAUUUAAACAAGAAAUAAGGCUGUAACAUUCAAGCAAUUUACAAUUUUCAAUUAAACACAUUCAAUGAGGAUACAGGAGCUCUUAGGAGCUUUGUUCCACUUGCUUUGCCAAGGCUCGAUCGCAUACCUCCUCGCGAUGACACUCUGUCAACCGGGUCGGCAUUUAAAUCCGUAGAACUCCACUUACACUUCACAGUUCCGUCCACCAUUUCACCACACCGGGCACGAACUUCUAUAAAAAGGCACUACUACGCGAGUAGGCCAAGCAAAAUCUCUCAAUAGAUCAAGCUUACAGUUAUCUCAUGGUUCACCAAGCUUCUUGACCAAGCCCUUGCUGACUCGAGCCGCAAGGUUGGCCAAUUGAGAUUUGGGCAUCCCCACAGCUCAGUUAUAAGUCGAGGAGAUUCACUCCAACGACAUGCAGACAGUUCAGUUAUAAGUCGAGGAGAUUCACUCCAACAACAUCCAGUCAAACAAAUACAAUUCAAUUAUGAGCAGUUCUGUUGUGCAAUCAGUUAAAAGAGAAUGAGUGCGAUCACGUACACACUCGACUCAACAGUUGUAAACCAUUCAGUCCAUAAGAAACAACUCACAUAAUUGCAACAAAUCAUGCAUUUGACACUCACCAAUCAAAAUAAGGGAGUAAGUGUUCAAACAAGCUUUUAGGCGUCCACUUCGAAAUCCUCUUGAAGGUCCCCUUGAGCACCUGAACAAAUAAUAAUUGACUAUCACACACUAUUACUUACAACUCCCUUACUAACAAGGAAUAUUGUACACUUGUACAAUACUAAAAAAAUAUCAUGAAAGAGAGCCUUAAUUACUCGAAAAUCGAGACUCAAAAGUGGAAUUUAAUAACACAAGAAAAACUGAUUUCCUCGAUGAAAUCAAGUUUAAAACGGUCAAUCAAUCACAAAGGAUAGGGAAGAGUUUCCAAAAACUCAUUUCCUAACAAGUCGGAAAAAUUCAGUUCUGUGCAUCAAACUUAGAAAAAUUAGAACUUGCACUCAAUAGGUCCAAAAUUGAAAAACUUUUACCCUUGGAAUCUUGGUUCAAAGUACUAAAAGUUCCUAGAAUAUACUUUCCCAUGAUUCCAAACGGAAGACAUUCAAAUUUCAGCUCAAAGUGGCUGAUUUAAGCAUACAAGGCAGUUUCAUUCUUGUUUUUCGGCAAAAUUUGGAAAUUCGGUAAAAUUCACAAAAAAUGAACUAGCCUUUGAAAUUUGUAACACAAUACAAAUCCAUAACAAAGUUUCAAACAAGCCAAACGGAACUAAAUUUAGAGUUUUGAGCAUUGAGAUAUAAUAGUCUAAAGUCGGCUGGAAUUUGAGCACAAAUCAGAAAUUUUUCAGAUUUGGAAAUCAAAUUUUGGGACAUCAUUUGGGUAUCGAAAUUGUCUUAGAAUAACACCAAAUUUCGUAAAAUUCAACAUCCAUAUGAGGACUACUCCUCUAUCAAAUUUCACGUAAAAACUUGUACGGGAAGGUAGUUAACAAAACUACCAAAGUUUAGGAAAUUCUUAAAGCAAAUCUGUCUUCUUGCUUUCUUUUCCUUUUUCAAACAUUUUGCCCAAUGAAAUCAACUCCAAUUCUAUCCAUUUUUUAAGCCAAGGUUCUAGGAACACUUAAUAAGCAUUUGAAAAGCAAUGAACAUCAAGAUUUUCGAAACGAAAUGUCCCAUAUCAAACCUAACUAGUCAGCUAGCAAGAAGAAAGGGUUUUCCAGAUUUCCAGCUUUAGCACAGUUUAUAAAUUGAACCAUAUCUCACUCAAUACAACUUGAAAUUGAGAAUGGUUGGUGGAGUUGGAAAUUAGAUUCAAAACUCUACAUUUCAUCAGAACAAGUCAUUUUCAAAAUCAGUUCACAAGUGAGAGAAAAUAGAGCCACGAAAUGCAGCUUCUACCUUCUCUCGGUUAGACCAUCAGAACAGGACAUCAAAUUUUGCCGAAUCACUACAGCUCACUCCAUUUGAACUAGAAAAUGAAUUUUAUACCGUUGGAAAGUUACAAAUGUGUAGUUUCAAAUGCCGCUAACGGCACUCGAUUUUGACUUUUGUACAAAGAGUUAUGUUCGAUCAAAGUGGUACUGUUCAGACUGCCAGAACACAUUUUCCAGUUUUCUUCAAAUUUCGAAAUUUCAAGUUUUGCUCAACCAAUUCAAAUGAUUUUUGGUAGAAACUUUCUACACACCAUAUAAAACAUAUAUCAACCAAUUUCACGGCAAAACAUCCCACAAAAAUUUGAAAGGCAGGUACAAAAAGCACCGGACAGAUUCGGCUAGUUCUAGUUCCUCUCAUUUCUCAACUUUCUCUCUAUUUCUAACCAUAAUUCCUCUCAUUCAACACAUAAACAACAUUAAACAAGAAUUUAAUCCUCAAGGCAGCUACCUAGAGGUCACCACAAGACCGCUAGCCUAACAUUUAAAGCAAGAAAUUAAACACCUCAAGUCCGCUAUUCUAAUCCAUGCUUAGGGUUCAAAUCCUUGCAAAUCCAACAGUAAAUCUUGUAUUAAAUGGAGAGAUUAGAUGAGUUGAUGGUUACCUGUGACGGCCCCACCUCCCCCUAAGGCAUACCAAAGGGUUCUCGCACUCAUUCUUUCGGGGCGUCACAAACUCCCCCCCUUAAAAGAAUGUCGUCCUCGACAUUCCAUCUUGUACCAAUCAAGUCGAGACAUCCCGCAAGAAUCACUAAUAUUUCAAACCAAACCCACAGUCCGGCAUCCUAAACUUUAUGCCUAGGAUACACUACAGAGAUCUGAAACCUAAGCUCUGAUACCAACUGUGACGACCCCACCUCCCCCUAAGGCGUACCAAAGGGUUCUCGUACUCAUUCUUUCGGGGCGUCACAUUACCUCCUUAGGUCUUGAAGAAACUAGAAAUUUCACCACCAAAACUCCAAGAAUCAUCGCAAGAUAAAGCCUUUAACCGAGCUCAAGCUAAUCUCCAAGUGGUUUGUGAGUUGGGUGCAAUUUGAGAGGUGAAAUGGAAGCAAGAUGAACAAGAUGGAAUGGAGCUUAUCUUCCUUUCUUUCCCUUGCUGUUCGGCCUAGCUUAUGGAGAGGAGAGAGAGUGUGGUUGGUGUUGUGAAGCUUCUCUUGGAAGCUUAAGGGAUUUGUGGCCAAAAGAUGUUCAAAAGUCAACUAGAAAUAGUGUCGCGUGCGGGUGUCGUACCACCGUUUUCUCUCUUGAUUGUUUAACUUAUGCACUAAACCUCCAAUGUAAUUUCUUUAACACUAAAAUUAUUCACUAGAAACUUCCGAUUCGCGUGCGAUAAAGCGAAAAUUUGAACUCACUCACCUCUAAUCUCUCAAUUAACUUUUCUUAGUCUACUAUUGAUCAUUCUUAAUUCUCCAAGAUUAUUACACUCUCGAAUUGAAUAUUGCCUCGAAAAAUGCGUACUCGCUAUUUCUCGCUAAACGAGUCUCAAAAAAAUAAAUUUGCUAAUGGGAUGUUUUAAAAAUAUAAGUGAGGCAUUAUUCUAUGCAAAUGGAUUUAAAAUGGUUGAAAUAAAUUAUUCAGAGAAAACGGGUGAAUAAAUAUUUAAAUAAGCCAGUAAAAUAAGAUAAAAAUAAGAAAAUUUUUUGGUCCUCACAGAUUUUUGCACUGAUUCAUUGUGAUAACAAUUCUACAAAGGCAAAAAAGCAAAUACCACAAUAAAUGGACUGCUUACAAUGAUGAAUUUUAAAUAAAUCAUAUAAUAGAGCAAAAUCAUUAAUAAACAUCAAAUUUGGCCAAUCGGAUGAGAGGCAUAUUCAUUAAAUGACUCACAAUUUCUAGAAGAAAGUCCAAAAACGAAGCAAAGAUCGAGCUAGAUCGAUGAUGGGGAGCAAAACUAAUCAAUCUUUCAUUGAUCAAGAACUUGAUUGCUAUUUUGUAUGUAGACUAGCGGUCUAAUCCUUUUAAAUAAAUCUAAACUAGAUGCAGAGGCCCCGUCCUGGGUCUAGACACGUGGCAGCCCAGGUAUGGCCAAGUUGGGCCUCAACCCCAGGCCCCUGACAACCGUCCUGGGUCGCGCCGCUGCUAGGGCUCCAGAAGGGCCAGGGGACCAUCCCGCAGAGGUCAGAGGAGAUUCUCCUCGGCGCGGGAUAAGGGCAAUACCGGGCAAGUCCCGAAACGUACAGAGGUCGGAUUCUCAGGAAGGUAUAAAUGGUAAUGCUCACCACUUACACAAGAUACGCUCACUAUUGGCACAUUACUCUCGACUGCUUAAUUCCCGUAAACCUCACCCACCGGAGAACUAACUUGACCAUCGGAGUGCCCUCGGGAACGACCUCGGGGCCCCUGUUAGAUCACCCUGUUGUCUGUCUUGCAGGCUUGGGACCAGCUCUACCCAUCAGCACACCGAGCUCAUCAGUUCAGCUCGGUCCGGGGAAGCUCAGCGCUUCUUCAGUUGGCGCCGUCUGUGGAAACUCGUAAGGUAAUCAAGACUGUGUUGAUGGCGAGAACGCGAUCCAAGCGAACGAUAGAGAGCACCGACCCUGGAGCCGGCGAAGGAUCCCAGCGAAUGGAGGCCAAGGCGGCUCGGGGUGCCGGGGGCUCAGCCCUCUCAGGGGAGCGGAGGCAGCAGAUCUUCCAAUUCGUGACAGAGAACCUCCCCAUGCUGAAAGACAUUAUCCGGCAGGCGAAGGAGGGGGGCGAAACCGGUGGUGCACAGACCUCCAAGGCGAAGGGGAAAGAGAAAGAACCACUUCCCGACCCCUCGGAGGAUGAGUCAAGCGACCAGCCCCCCAGAAGAAAACGGUCACGGACUUCCCCUCGCCCCCGAGUCUCGGUAGUCGGGGACAGCGAGAGAUACUCCCGCGACCGGUUCGAGGGGAGCCGUCCAAGAAAUCCCUCCCCACGGAAACCCACGCGGAAUGAGCUCGAGCGUUCCCCUGCUCGGUCUGUCAAGAACCGGCCGCGCGACCUCUCUCCGUAGAAACCUGUCCGAGACGAACUCGAACAGAUCUUGGGGCCGCUGUUGUACGAGGACAACUACACCACCUCGCCCUUUCCCCGGGUGAUACAGGAUUACCCACUAUCCCGGAGGUUCAAGAUCCCGAGCAUUGAGAUGUAUGAUGCUUCAACCGACCUGAAAGACCACCUCUCGGUUUUCCUGACGCACAUGCGUCUGUAAACAGCCGCGGAUGAAAUCCGCUGCAAGACCUUCCCCAUGUUCUUAAAGGGGAAGGCUCAGCUCUGGUUCCAAGGUCUGGCACUAGGGUCUAUCCGGAGUUUCCCUGAACUGGCCAGACAGUUCGUAACCCAGUUCGUUUCCUCGAAAACUUAUUCGAAGAAUGCGACUCACCUAAUGGCUAUCAGGCAAAGGCCCGACGAGUCCCUGAGGAAUUUCAUGACCCGUUUCAACGCGGAGAGUUUAUAGGUCAGGGACAAAGAUGAAAAGGUGGUCAUGGCCGCCUUCAUGAAUGGGUUCAGGGUAGAGGAGCUCUUCUACAAGCUGGCCGAGAAGCCUCCUGGAAAUCUGGAGAAUCUCCUGACCAGGGCGCACGCGACCGCUAAUGCGGAGGAGGCAGGCCGUCUGAAAAAAGAGUCAGAUCGAGAGUUCGGAGAUCGGAGGGGACGGGAAAACCCCCCCGAGAGCAAGGAUGGUCCGGCCAAGAAAAACGUCUUUGACCGGCUCUCAAGGGAGAAAGCCCCUGCUCCGCUACCACUCCCGGAGAAAGGCUACACCCCCUUGACACGGCCUAGGACCCAGAUCCUGGCUGUUAUGGAGGCGGAAGGCCUGGGAGGUUAGCCGCCCAAGAUGGGAACACCUCGGAACAAGAGGAAUCAGGACCGGUACUGCGCCUUCCACCGCGACGUCGGACAGAUACGGAGGGGUGCUGGGCCCUGCGGAAGGAGAUCAAAAAUCUGAUCCAGUGCGGCUUCUUGGGGCGAUUCGUGCUGCAAGGUUGCCCCGACCAAGAGUCCAGGCACACCUACCGUGGAGAUCGGGACGAAUACCGGAGUCGCGACCGUCCUGAGCGGCGUGACGUGCGUCGGGGCUGCUCCCCCGACCAGAACACCCAAAACCUGGCGGGAGUGAUAAACACCAUCGCCGGGGGCCCCACCGGGAGAGACAGUCACACAAUUCGGAAGAACAGGCGACCUCCCCCUGAGGGAGAUGACUCCCUGAAACGGCUGCGCAUGGACGAGGAGAUCACUUUUGGGCCAAACGAUGCGGUCCCCUAGCAUUUGGGAACCAUGAGACCAUCGUGAUAGAUAUUGUUACCAACAACUACUGAGUGAAGAAGGUAUAUGUCGACCAGGGAAGUGCGGUCGACAUCAUGUUCUAUCAGGUGUUCAAGGAGCUCGGCUUGGAGGACGGGCAGCUGACCCCAGUUCGGACACCAUUGAUGGGCUUCACCGGACCCCCUAUCAACCCGGAGGGAAUGAUCACCCUGAUGGUCACGGUAGGGCAGACCCCCAAAUGCCGGACCAUCCCUGUUAAUUUCGUGGUGGUCAAACAACAAUCCCCGUACAACCUGUUCUUGGGUCGGCCUGCCUUGAACGCUCUCCGAGCUAUCCCCUCAACGCUCCACCUCAGCGUUAAAUUCCCCACUCCAGGAGGAAUAGUCGAGGUACGCGGUGAUCCAGAGGUGGCCCGAGCUUGCUACUUGGCCAUGCUUCAAGGACGGGAGAAGGUGGUCACCCAAACGACCUGCCUGGAGCCCUACAUUUCAGGGGAGGAAACCCGACAGCUGGGCACCCAGGACGAGAUUGAGGAGUUCCCCUUGAGGGAGGACCGGCCCGACCAGGUGAUCCGCAUCGGCUCGCUGCUACCCCUUGAGGAGGAGGGUUUGAAGGCCCUGUUAAGGGAAUACUCCCAGGUCUUCGCGUGGACGGUUGAGGACAUGCCUGGAAUUCUGACCGACCUGGCCGUCCACCACCUCAACGUGGAUCCUCGCUUCAAGCCGGUGAAGCAAAAGAAAAGGAGUUUCGCCCCAGAAAGAAAUGAGGUAAUCAAGAAAGAGGUCAGAAAACUGCUGGAGUCUAAGAUCAUCCUGGCGGUCUACUACCCGACCUGGUUGACCAACCCGGUAUUGGUUAAGAAGGAGGACCAGACUUGAAGGAUGUGCGUGGAUUUCACGGAUCUCAACAAAGCCUGCCCAAAGGACUGUUUUCCUCUGCCGAGAAUCGACAUGUUAGUAGAUUCUACUAUGGGAUUUGAUGUCUUGUAUUUUCUGGAUGCCUUCAAGGGGUACCACCAGAUAGAGAUGGUUGAGAAGGACCGGGAAAAGACCUCCUUCAUCACCGAGGAAGGAACCUACUGCUAUCGGACUAUGCCGUUUGGCCUGAAGAACGUGGGAGCCACCUACCAGCGUCUGGUCAACAAACUAUUCCAGAAUCAGAUCGGUAGGAGCAUGGAAGUCUACGUAGAUGACAUGAUCGUCAAGAGCCAAACUAAUCAGCAACUCAUCCCCGACCUAAGGGAGAUCCUGGGCAUCCUGCGGAAGAGCCGAAUGCGACUGAAUCCGAAGAAGUGUACCUUCAGGGUUAGGUCGGGGAGGUUCCUGGGAUUCUUAAUGUCUUGAGACGGGAUCCGGGCCAACCCAGAUAAGAUCCAGGCUAUCAUAGACAUGGCCCCCUCGAGGAGCGUAAAGGAGGUCCAGCGGCUCAUAGGAAGGAUGACCGCCCUGAAUAGAUUCCUCUCGCGUUCCGCGGUCUUGGGGCUGCCCUUCUUCCGGAUCUUGAAAGCUUCCAAGGACUUUCAAUGGACUGCAAAGUGCCAGAAAGCCUUCGCCGACCUGAAGGCCUAUCUGGCUGAGUUGCCCACUCUAACCGUCUCGGAGCAGGGGGAGACCUUGUUCCUAUACCUGUCCGCUUGCAACGAGACCGUCAGCACGAUCUUGGUAUGUGAGGACGGGGGGGCUCAGAGGCCGGUAUACUACGUCAGCCGUGCUUUGCAGGGGCCGGAAACGCGGUACACGCCGGCAGAGAAACUGGUCCUCGCCUUGGUGUACGCGGCCCGUAAGCUCCGACCUUACUUCCAGACCCACAGCAUCGUCAUCAUGACGGAUCAGCCCCUACGGCAGAUACUUACAAAGCCCGAGGUCUCGGACAGAAUGAUCAAGUGGGCCAUUGAACUAGCCGAGCACGACAUCGGCUAUUAGCCUCACACCGCUAUCAAGGCUCAAGCCUUGGCGGACUUCCUCGCUGAGGGGGCUAACUUGGCCAUCACCGGGUAGAGCUUUCCGCCCAGUGAGUCGCGGUCGGGAGAGCCUUGGAUCCUGUUCGUAGAUAGGGCUUCGAGUAAGGAAGGGAGCGGAGCUGGCCUGCUGCUUAUCUCGCCUACCGGGGAAGAGUUCACCUACGCCCUCCGAUUUGACUUCCCCGCAUCCAACAAUGAAUCCGAGUACAAGGCCUUACUUACAAGAUUGCGGAUAGCCCACUAGAUGGGUAUAACCGCGAUCAAAGUCCGGAGCGACUCCCAACUCGUCGUCCUCCAAGUUCGCGGGGAAUACGAAACCAAGGAGGAUGUCAUAAAGAAAUACCUGGCCAAGGUACGGGAGGCAAUAGCCCUGUUCGAUACUUUUGAAAUCGAGCGGGUGUCGAGAUCCCAGAACAAGCGCGCGGAUGCCCUGUCAAAGCUGGCAUCCUACUUAUUUGCCCACCUGAGCAAGGAAGUCUUGGUAGAGGUGGUCAAGCAAAAGAGCAUUGAUCAGGUCCAAAUCUUGACCAUAGACGGCUCGGCCACCUGAAUGACCCCGCUGAUGAACUUCCUCAGCUAGGGUGUCCUGCCCGAAGACAAAGCGGAAGCUCGCCGACUCCAACUCAAGGCCCAAGUACGCCUACGCUGGAGGGCCCCUCUAUCGGAGGUCGUAUCUGUCCCCCUGGCUAAAGUGCGUGACUCCAGAGGAGGGCGAUUACGUCCUUCGUGAAGUUCACGAGGGCUUAUGUGCGGCCCAUGCGGGGUCUCGAGUAUUGGCCAAAAAGUGCCUUCUCUUGGGCUACUAUUGGCCCUCGGUGUUCCAAGAUACCGCGGCCCUGGUUCAGAAGUGCCGAGCUUGCCAGGUGCACGCUCCACUGCGCCAUCAGCCAGCCCGGCAAAUGGUCCUCAUCCAUAGUCCCUGGCCCUUCGCCCAGUGGGGGAUAGAUCUCCUGGGUCCUUUCCCUCGAGCCUCGGGGAGAUACGAGCACCUCGUGGUGGCCGUCGACUAUUUCACGAAGUGGAUGGAAGCAGAGCCUCUGGCCACUAUCUCUGGGAGGGCAAUUCAAAAAUUCUUCUGGAAAAAUAUAGUCUGCCGCUUCGGGAUUCCGCAUGUCUUGAUAUCCGACAACGGGCGCCAGUUCGCUGAGAACCCCUUCAAGAGCUGGUGUGCCGAGCUCGGGAUCAACCAGCAUUUCACAUCGGUCGGCCACCCCCAGGCCAACGAUCAGGUGAAAAAUGCUAACCGAACCAUUUUGCAGGGACUGAAAACUAGGUUGGAACUAGCCCAGUCUAAUUGGCUCAAGGAACUUCCUAGUGUCCUCUGGGCUUACCGCACUACGCCCAAGACAGCUACCCACGAGACCCCAUUCUCCUUAACUUAUGGGACAGAGGCGGUGGUGCCUGCAGAGGUCGGACUUCCCUCGCCUCGAACACAGAAUUUCGUCGCGUCGGCCAAUGAAGAGGAGCUACGGUGCAAUUUGGACAUGUCGGAGGUUAAGCGUGAGGGGGCGGCGAUACGGAUGGCUAAGUACAAAAUCCAACUCGCUCACUAUCACAACGCAAAAGUAAGAAACGUGCAGUAUCGGCCGGGAGACCUUGUCUUAAGGAAGAACUCGGUCAGCAGGGCUCACAGCUCCAACAAGCUCGACCCAAAUUGGGAAGGACCAUACCAGGUCCUCGAAGCGAGCCGAGCUGGUUACUGUAAGCUCGCAAAAAUGGAUGGAUCAGUGGUACCCUGCACUUGACACUUCUCCAAUCUGUGACUGUUCGUAGUGUAGUUCGAAUCCUACACUAGCACACUCAGCGCUCCCUCACUCAGUGUCCUAAUGGGGGUUAGGGGGAUGAAAGGUAAUGAUGUGAUGCCUCGCAAGAGGUUGGCAAAACUUCAAAGUAGAUGCUCGACCCCAGGAGGUCGGCACGAAUGAAAACUUUGAGGUCUGAAAGUUCAACGCUCAACCCAAGAGGUUGGCGGGAAUACCUUUAAAGUGUGAUGCUCGACCCCAAGAGGUCGGCACUGGUUAAAACUUCAAAGUGGAGGAUUGACCCCAAGAGGUCGCUACGGCUCCAAAAGUUAGAGUCUGUGGGUUCCACGUUCGACCCAGGAGGUCGGCAUGAAUACUUACGAUGUUCGGCCCGGGAGGUCGGCAUGACGAUUAGGCAGUUUGGUGAAGUUUGUGGAUACCUGAGCCUGGGGAUCCUUGACGACUUAGUGAUUUGUUUAUGAACAUAACAAACGCUCGGCCCCAAGAGGUCGGCACGAAUGGAUGCUCGACCCGAGGAGGCCGGCAUGGCUUAAGACUCUGAAAUCUGAAAGCCCGACGCUCGGCCCCAAGAGGUUGGCGCGGCGUGAACUAUUUUGGGUUUGUUGGAAUUCGGGGUUCGACGCUCGACCUAGGAGAUCGGCAUGAACGCCUUCAAAAGUUAGGCGCUUGACCCAGGAGGUCGGCAGGAAUGCCCUUAAAUUUCGGUGCUCAGCCCCAAGAGGCUGGCACGUUACCUUGAUGGGCCUAAUCGGUGCACGACCCGGGAGGUCAGCACAUGGUCCUGGUAGCCUGAUUGCCUUUGGCAAUUUGGUUGUUAGAUUAAGAAGGAGAUAUAUUUGGUGCUCGACCCAGGAGGUCGGCACACGACUUUGGUCGCUAGAGUUUUGCGCGGGCGAGAAUUGCAAGGUAGUUUCCUGCGAAUUUUAUAUAUGCAUUCAAAACCUAUCUAUUACAAAACUUCCAAGUUGGUAGUUUUCUGCGAGUUUUACAUAUGCAUUCGAAGUCUAUCUAUUACAAAGCCUGCUGAACCACAAAACGAAGACAGCUCGGUCCCCAUUCUUCUUGCUGGCAGCCUGCUUAGAGUAGGGGCUGAAGGUAUACCUUAAACAUGUUGGGAGGCGUAUGGUGAAGGCUAUUCAAGGUAGCCAUAGAGGCCCCGGACAGGGGACCUAUCCAUCCCGGAUGGACCUUCAAGAUCAUUCUCAACUGGAGCAUGGUCACAUCCUUAUAAGAAGAUGGAAAGGGUUUCUGGAGUGGUCGCCGCCCUAGGUUAAUGGCUCCUUGCCGGGAGCUCUGCCGAGAGCCUCGUCCUUCUCCAGGGGAACCUCUGCCAGAUCGGCUCCCACAUCACUCCUGCCUGCUAGCUCCUUCAGGGCAUGCCUCUUGCAAUACCCGUCAAAGAGCCAGUCUAUUUUCUCCUCGACUUUAGGGUUGUACUCCUUGAAAGCGGUCAAGUCGAAGCCAGGCAAGCCGAGCUCCUUGACCUUAUCCAGAGCUUGCGUGAAGCCAAUCUGGAGGAUGGGCUCGUUGAGGAGGGCGACGUCAUUGGCAAACUAUUCGGAGGAGAUGAACUCCCGAAUAGCCCUCUUCCGCUCCCGGUUGACGGUGCCGGAGAGCUCGAUGGCGUGCUCCUCCCUCAGCUUGGCCACGUCGACCUUCUCCUAGUCGAGUUCCGACCUAGUGGAAGCGAGCUGGACCUGGGCCGCCUCCAGCCCUUUCUCGGCCUGGCCCAGCUUGGCCUUAAGGGAGUCUGCCUCCUUAAGAGCCUGGGUCAGCUUCUGUUCUGUCUCCUGAUUUUUUCUUUCGCAAUUUCUCCAAGUCGGGAGACAGUUUGGAGAAACGGGCCGCCAGGACAGCACCAGCAGCGUUGGCUUGAAGUGGAGGGAAAACAGGUCAGCAUGCUACGCUAUCUAGCCAAAACACAAAGGCACAAUUGGCCCAACGGCUAGGGAACUUACAUGAGCCUGAGCGGUGUAGUACGCGUCCUGGAGCUCGGAGGGGCUGGCCAGCUCCAGCCACCUCCUGUCGCGCGGGAGGACCGAACCCGCCAUCAGCUCGCGAGUCACCUCGGGAAACUGGACUCGGUCGUUGAUGGAAAGCCCCCAGGAUGGGUAGAAGUGGCGGGGGUCGUGCAUAGUGGGGACCUGGCCCGGCUUCAGGGGGCUAUGUGGCGGAGGUACCACAAGCUCGGGGGAGGCGACUCCCGGGCAUGCUCCUCAGCGGAGCCAAUACCUAGGUGGACUGGCCCUCCCAAUGUCAGUGUGAGGGGAGGGGGCUGUGUUGAGACCAGCGCGAGCUUCUUCCCGGGUUGGGAGGACUCGUCUCCUCAACCCCUCUUCUGUCCGAUCGCCUUCUUCUUGUUAGCGGCUUUCUUGGAAGGGGAGGAGGUGUCCGGCGCUUCCUUCUAGGGGGUUUGGCCGUCUCCCAGGGUCGGAGCCGUCCCAGGGGCCUCUUUGGCCGCCUCUGACUGAGGGGUGGGGGUAGCCUCCUCCGUAGGUGCGCCCAGUAGUUUGGAAAGCCUCCUCACUGCGACAAACAUCGUCGGGUCAAUAAAGACAGGUCAGUACAAAAAUCAUAAUAUGCACAUACGUAAAGGCAACGAGCUGCAGGGACAGAGUCGGCGUUACAAGCAUCGAGGUCGGUUUUGGAGGCCACCACCUCUCCGGAGGACCCGGACAACGUCCCCAUCAACCCGGCUGCAGAAAUCUGCUCGAUGGAGAAUUUGGUGGCAUGGAACUUCACCUUGGAGCUCACCAGCUGGAUGAGGGUCUCUGAGUCCAGGUCCUCCGGGUAGGGAUCGGAUUUGACCUCCCCGACCUUCCACACGGUGGCGUCAAGGCCGAUGAAUUUGACAAAAAAGAAGUCCACUUUCCAGUUCUUGAUGGAAGAGGGGAACCCGUAGAACAGGUCUUGGGUGCUCUUGUCCCCCCGACCUUGGUUCCCGGUCCGGUGGGAGAAGUAAUACCACCCAAGAAGGGAGAACUUGAGGAUGUAGGCAGCUCGAAAGAGGGAGAGAGAGUAGGGGAUGGAGCAGACAUGGCAGUAGAUCAGGAAUCCUAUGAUGAUCCUGAUCGAGUUAGGAUGAACCUGGGUGAUCCUGAGCCCCCAAUAGCUCAAGAUCUCAGCCAGGGCUGAAGGGAUUGGUAGUCGGAGCCCCCCAAGCAGCUGCUCCUUGUAGAUGGCUACAAAGCCAGAGGGAGGUCGGCUGGCGAGGUCGUUGGGCCCGACAGCCCUUGGCUCGAAGGCCGGAGGGAUGGAGAAGGACCCGACCAGCUCGGCCACCGUCUCGGGUGAGAUGGUGACCUCUUCGUGGUCGGGACGACCGAAGUCGAGCUCAGCAUCGUCCUCCUGCUCGGGGGAAUGAGUCCCCUCGGAGGAGUCCCUAUCCUCCCCGGCUCCCCCUGAGUUCCGCCGAGAGAGUCAUGUGGGGACUUGAGGGAGGGAACGGAUGUGGCCUACUGCUCGAUGAGGGCAUCAAGCUCGGCCGCCUCUUCCAGGGCUCGAGUAGAAGGGGAGUGAGUGGAAGGAGAGUUCAUGAUGGCUAUGGGCUCGAGGAGGUCGAGAUUGGAAGCGGAAGAAGAAGAAAGAGGAGGGGGUGAAGACAAAGAUGAAGAUGCAGAUAGGGAGGAAGACGAAGAAAUGACAAUCUGGGGGGCUCUAAGCCGGGAAGGGAUUUGAGAUGCGGUGGAAAUGACGCCGGAAUGAUCCGACAUAAAAAGCAGAGAGUGCCUAAGGAGGAGGAAAAAGUGAAGGGGGAAGGGAAAAGACUUACUAGUGACUGGAGCGGGAAAAGGAUGAAGGAGUCGCCGGAAUCUGGGCACAGAGAGCCGGAAGCCUCUUUACUGGGAAAUGGAAAUGCGCGAAGGAAGGAGAAAAUGGCAAAUAGAGUCGAGUGAAGUCUGAUGACUCCCAUUUAUAGGGGGUGAAAUGGGGGAAAACGGUUGCUUGAAUUCGAACGGUCCCAUGUGAACGCAUUUAAUGAAGGUACGGAGACCGAAGGGACGCAACAACUGAAAGGACCUGGGCACGGCUUCCCUAUGACAGCACUAUACCGGAGGUGACCUUGACAGAGCAGUGCGCGGCGCUAGCCUCCCACGUGGCAAGGGUAGAUUAGGUCUACCUGACAGCCCUACCUAAUCUAGGGGGCUAGUGCAGAAGCCCCGUCCUGGGUCUAGACACGUGGCAGUCCAGGUAUGGCCGAGUUGGACCUCGACCACAAGCCCCUGGCAACCAUCUUGGGCCGCGCCGCUACUAGGGCUCCAGAAGAGCCAGGGGACCAUCCCGCAGAGGUCGGAGGAGAUUCCCCUCGGCGCGGGAUAAAGGCUAUACCGGGCAAGUCCCGAAACGUACGGAGGUCGGACUCUUAGGAAGGUAUAAAUGGUAAUGCUCACUACUUACACAAGGUACGCUCACUAUUGGCACAUUACUCUCGGCUGCUUAAUUCCCGUAAACCUCACCCACCGGAGAACUAACUUGACCGUCGGAGUGCACUCGGGGACGACCUCGGGGUCCCCUGUUAGAUCACCCUGUUGUCUGUCUUGCAGGUUUGGGACCAACUCUACCCAUCAGCACACCGAACUCAUCAGUUCAAUUCGGUCCGGGGAAGCUCAGCGCUUCUCCACUAGACAAAUCCAGAGUCCAAAUGCCAUCCUGAUUUUACUACUAAAGCUGCGGAUUGGAAUCCUAUGGCAACUAAACAUUCUAAUGUCCAGCAUAACAUAUGAAAUAUAAUGUAUAUCUAGGGAAUAAGACCCCUUUGAGGACUUGAUAUCAACUGUAGUUACAGGAAUUGAUGUCAACUUGACUAAUAUUAAAAGUCCAUCAAAUUUGGACUGCAUGGAAUAAAAUUGUUAAAGAUUCAAGUUGCCAAAUACAUAAGAGGCAUAUAGUGCUAUUUUAUGUUAUUUCAAAAUUUCAAAUCAACCCAACAGAUUUAACCCCAAAUUUGGCCAAUGAACAGCUGCAAUUUUUUAAAUUAUUCCUACAUUUUUAUCCAAACAAUUUCUAGAUAAGCAGAUUAGUUGACCAAUAUGUAUAAAACUUAUACUUUUGCAACCAAGACUAUGAACACAUGGUUCAUCUUCCCCCAUUAAUUCAAGAAUUAAGUGAGAAAAACUUACAGAUUUAGGAUCCCAAAUGAAUGUAGUGUUUACCCGUUUGAGAGAAGCAGAGCUGCUGCCCCCGCCCCAUUUCUAUCCCACCGGCAUAAUUAUUUUGUGAUGUUGUCAUUUGCUUUUGUAUUCAAAUUAUAGAUUUAUUAAUAUCCAAAAAAGUUAAAAUUCAUAAUUAAGCAAAGAGUAGUUUUUACUGAUUAUGAUUAUUCUCUUUAAUCACUUUUCAUAACUAUUGGCACAUCAUAAAAUGCAAUAAAGUAUGUUGGAGAAGAAUACUAACUUGGUUAAUAUAAAUAGCAUCGCAACUAAAGGGCCAAUCUAGUACGAGUCCAAAACAUUUAGAAGCCUCUUGGUCAUGCUUGUGCUUGACUUUCUUACCUCAAAUAUAUUACAAGACUAAGUUAAUUACUUAAGUAAAAAAGUAUUUUGUUGCAUUUCAUGUUCAUCUUAUCUUCUUUCUUUUAGUUGUUGUAACGAUUAGCAUCUUUUGGUAGAUAUAAUUAUCGGUAAACCACAAAAUAUGGUAAAGUACACUACCAUGCUAGAGAAGAACAUCAACUUCAUUGAUGUGAAUUGCACCCUAUCUAAGGAAGGCAAUUUAGCAUGACUUCAAAAUAUUUAAAGGCUAUUUGUUUAUGCAUGCGGUGACCUUCUUACAUUAAACGUAUUAAGAGGUUAAAUCAAUUAUUCAUGUAAAAGGGUACCAUGUUGCAUUUCACACUUAUUUUUUUUAUUUAUCAUUUGUUGUACCACUUAAUAUCUUGGCUAAUUUCUUCGUUUAUUGUCCAAAAAAGAAUCGUGCAAGUAUUGAUCUGACAGGCUACAAAAUUUUAUUUUUAAAAAAUUGCUGUGUCCUACCCGACAGCCGUCAUCAAAAGACCCCCCCCCAAAAAAAAAAAAAAAAGGCUGCAUGGCCCCAGCAUUGUCCCCCAAAUAACAAAGUCAGGUUUCAUGGGCAUGCUCCAUAUAAGAUGAUAAGCUUCUUGCAAGUCUCCUGCACGACCUAAAAGAUCAACCAUACAUCCGUAAUGUUCCAGUCUAGGAGUGAGAGAAAAUUUUUGCUCCAUUGCCUUGAAGAGCUCUCGUCCUUUAUGCCGCCAUGUGUGCAUGCCAAGAUUGCCCCAACAAAUUUGAAAUGCCUUCCCCCUGCAGCAGCAAUUACAAAUUUACAAUUAGGCAGGAAAGAUGUGAAUAUCCGCCUAAAAGAUUCGGAAGUAGCAGUUGGUCCUAUAACGGAGUAUAGCUAUGAUCAUUUGGCUGAGCCUCAAUCCUUUCUCUUUCUCCAUUUCCAGAUACAACGCCAAUGCAUCUGCGUACUCACCGUUCUGCAAGUAGCCCGAUAUCAUUGUCGUCCAAGAAAUCACAUUCCUGGAAAGCAUAUGAGAAAACAAGCGAGAAGCUUCCCUCAUAUCCCACUCUUUGCGUGACCUACGAUCAAGGCAUUCCAGGUGGGCACAUCUCUUGUGGACAUCCCAUCGAACCUUUUUUUUUUUUCCUUUUGACGAUGGCUACGGGCUGAUAUAGCUAUCAGCUUUUUUUGUUUUUGUUUUUUUUUUUUUUUAAAUCUAGGUGGCUACCGGGCUUAGUAAGCCGGCAGGAAUAGUUCAAUAUUUCCUCUUUGUCAGAUCAAUACUUGCACGAUUUGUUUUUUUGAACAAUAAACAGAGGAAUUAGCCUAAUAGCUUUUGGUAGAUAUAAUAGUAAUAUACACCACUUUGAUAGAAGAAAAUACCAACUUGUUUGAUAUGAAAUGCAUCCCAACUAAGAGAAAAAGUUAGGACCAAUUAAAAGUAUUUAGGGACCGCUUGGUUAUGCGUGUGGUUGAUCUUCUCACAUCAAAUAUAUUAUAAAGUUGAAUUAAUUACUCAUCAAAAAAGUACCUUAUUGGAAUCACACACAUAUUUUUCUCUUAAUUUUCUACCGUUUAGUAUUUUUGGUAGAUAUGAAUAUUAUAGGUGGCAAAUCAACCCAUUUAAUUAAAUUUAUCCAUAUCCACCCACGAAUAGAUGGAUAUGAGUAUUUUAAAUUUUUUCAUAUGGAUAUAAAUGAGUUAUCCAAUAAUACCCAUUUAUUAAAUGGGUAUUAUUGGGUAACCCAUGAAACCCAAUUAACCCAUUUAGAAUUGUCUUUCUCCAAGUCUCUUCUCUUCCCCCACCUAUUUUUUUUUCAAAUUUUUCAUUUUGUCAUGAUGUUAACUACUUUAGUUUCAUUAUUAUCAUUAUUUGUUGGUUUUAUUUUAUUAUUUUAUUUUCUCUUAGUUUGUUAACUUGUUCAUUUUUUCAAUAUUACCAAUUUAUGAUGAUUUUUAACCUCUUUUCCUAUCUUUCCAAAAUGAAAUUUUAAAUUUAUAUAUGAAAAAAAUGUUAGGGGUUCAAAAUUUUUGGAUUAAGUUUUUAUGUUAGCUUUUAUAGUACUUAGUUCAAAUUUUUUAUAUUCUUAUUAUUCAAUUAUUAAAUAACAUGUAAUUUUGCGACAUAAAGUACGGAUAAGAAAAAAAUGAUAAUUAGGCUUAUUGAACAUUAUAAGUAAAUAUUUAAAACUAAUGAUGGGUGCAAAAGGAGAUAUAAAUUGAUAACUUAGUUUGCAAAAAUGAAUUUAAAUGAGUUUACAAAAGUUAAAAUAAAUGGGUUAUAAAUGGGUAAUUGGAUUACCCAAUUCAUUUUUUGACUUACUCAUUUAUACCCAUCUAAUUAAAUGGAUAUAAAUUGGUUGACUCACUUAUACUUAUUAUCCAUUUUACCCAACAAAAACCCGCCCAAGUUACCCACUUUGCCACCUCUAAUGAAUAUCAAUACACCGUAUAAUGCAGUAAAGUACACUAUUAUGAUAAAGAUGAACACCAACUUAGUAGAAAUUCAACGAAGUACUCUAUUUGACUUAAUCUCACAAUAUGUACGAUGUGAGAAGAUUAAUCAGACGAAUAACCAAGAUCCUUCUUAAUAUUUUGAACAUGUGUUCUUAUGAAAUUGUAAAUCAUGCUUGCCAAAAAUUAAAUAUUAUGUAUCACUAGUAGUGUAUAAUGGUAGUUUUGAUUAUUACUCUAUAAUGGUCUUAAUUACGCAUUAGAAUCUUUGUUGUAAGGGAUCGAUGGAUAAAGUAAUAAUCCAGUAACAUUAGUGUAAUUUUCUAUCUGUGUACAAAUAUUUAGAGGAUGAUGCCAAAAUAGCAUGGAUUAGAAUGAAAAGACAACAAACAAAGCAUGACAUAAAUUAAAAUGCCAUCAUCGGUGAAGGUAUUUCAAAGUCCCAAAAGUUGGAAAUACAUAAUCGACAAAAUAUUCUUUUAAUCAUAGAAAACAAAAAAAAAAGACUAAAAAGUACAAAAUUAUAUCUUCAAAACAAAAAUAAGUUGUUAAGCAUCAAAAUUUAUUUGACAUGAGCUAAAUCCAAUUUAUCCUAACCUCAUAUUAGGGGCAAGUACAGUUGGUAUUUGUGUACAAUUGUCGGUUAUUGCACCUUUUACAUAAUAUAGUGCACAUUUAUAUCACUUUGUUGUAUCCAUAAAUUUUAUUUGUUUACACCAAAUCAAUGUAUAAAUACAACUACUUUUGUAAGUGUAUAUCAAAUUGUAAACGAAAACAUCAUCAUUAUCUAACCGAACCUAAGCUUACCGUACCUACCCCGACCCCCCUAACUUCUAGUUUCUCAUUGCUUGUGCCACUGGAGUUUGGCUAUGAAGUCAACAUGAUAAUAGGAUCUUGAGCACAUAUGAAGUGCAUUGCAAUUGCAGGUCUGGAAACUUUACUUGACCAUAAAAAGUAACUUGAUAAUGAUAUUUUGACAAAGCAUACAUGAAAGGAAAAAUGCCCAUUGCUUUGCUAUUGUUUAACUAUAAAGUCAGGUACUUUAUCUGCAAAACGAACACAACAUCAUCAAAGUAUUACUAGAAGAAUUUUCAAGUAAAUUCCACAAUAUUGCACAUGAAUCAUUACCAUGUAAGAUGAAACAUGUGAAACUAGAUGAAACCAAUAACUAGAGACAGAGAGAUUUUUGGCAAGAAAAAACAACCACUUAUUUGAAAUUUAGUCUACACUGAAUUGAAGGGGAACGAACUACUCAUAAACUUUCCAAAGACUUUUUCAUUCGCACAAUAAUAUUUUAUGUGAUUGAAUUUUAAGUUCAUUCACUACAUCAUCUUGAACUUUGAACAAGUUGAUUUGUAGAACCGAGUCAUUUAUUAAUCAUCCUUAAAUGCAACCAGAGAGAAUUUGCUAAAUAGAGUGCUAGUUAUAACAUGUUUUCCAAGGGAAAACAAUGCAAAUGGGCUUAGCUAAAACUCAUAAACCAGCCAAAUUAAAUAGAUAAAGAUCAAAAACAUCAAAACGGUUUAGUAAGACAACAAUUUUUACUUCAGCAUGGUCACUAGGUCGACGAGGAAGGCAAUCAACCCUGAGAGAUACUCCUAUGGCGUUCUUGCAAGGAUCCACAAACUUCUUUAUAGAUUGCCUUGAACUCAGAAUUGGAAAAUGACCGCGGCAAAUACGGUCAAUGAAAUUACUAGGUGAUAACAAGAUACGCCCUAUUUCUCCCUGUUCCAACAUUUUAUAUCUAAACUUAUGUCCAUUGUCCAAACUCUGCCUUCUCAAAGGCUUUGACAUGAGCAUUAAGAACCCCACAAUAUCUCAAGAAAUCACAUAGCAAGAGUCAAAUUUUGGAACUGAGCAAUGUAGAAUAAAGUUGAAAUUAACAUAAAUAAAUUCUAGUUGAACUUUAGAAAACAUGAAAAGUUUAUUUCAAAGUAAAUUAGCGGGAAUAACUUGCAAACCUUCCUCAUGGGUAUUAAAUCAAACACACACCCUACCUCAAAAAAUUAACCUUUGAAUCCAAUAAUCAAUGUAAAUGGACAUAAAAACAACAACGAAUAUUAAAUAUAGGCUCAUUAUAAAGGAGCAAAAAUUGUUCCUGAUUAAAAUUUACAACUUGAAAGUUUAAGAGUAGAACAAAAAAUCUACCUGACAUUUAAUCAAACACUAGGGGAGCAUCCACAAAUAUAAUAAUUAAAUGAUCAUCACAUGUUAUACUCCGUACUCUCGAGUUAUGAUAAACAAAAGGUUCCAAAUAUCCCAAACACAACCUUCAGAAAACAAUCCGCAUAUAAAAAUGAAAAAAAUAGUACAUAACUAAAAGAUCAAGGGGCUUACAUCAAUCAGAUGAUAACCAACCAAUCUGUAAUGGAAUUGCGACUGUCAUCCUGCUUUAAGAUUGCCUCUCUUUUUUUUUUUUCAAACGAUAAGAGAUUAAGAUUGCCUAAUUGAUUCAUGACUUUCUUUUUUUUUAUUGCCCUAUCUAUUCAUUGUUGGUGUUCGGAGUAACACAGAGAGGCUAACAAUACAUCAUUCUUUUGUUAGAGUUUCUUCAAUGUGUGAGGAAGAUAAAAGGAAAAAAUUGGAAGUAAGACAAUU
rnacentral:lncRNA from 1 species